GUCGAGCGGACAGAUGGGAGCUUGCUCCCUGAUGUUAGCGGCGGACGGGUGAGUAACACGUGGGUAACCUGCCUGUAAGACUGGGAUAACUCCGGGAAACCGGGGCUAAUACCGGAUGGUUGUUUGAACCGCAUGGUUCAAACAUAAAAGGUGGCUUCGGCUACCACUUACAGAUGGACCCGCGGCGCAUUAGCUAGUUGGUGAGGUAACGGCUCACCAAGGCAACGAUGCGUAGCCGACCUGAGAGGGUGAUCGGCCACACUGGGACUGAGACACGGCCCAGACUCCUACGGGAGGCAGCAGUAGGGAAUCUUCCGCAAUGGACGAAAGUCUGACGGAGCAACGCCGCGUGAGUGAUGAAGGUUUUCGGAUCGUAAAGCUCUGUUGUUAGGGAAGAACAAGUACCGUUCGAAUAGGGCGGUACCUUGACGGUACCUAACCAGAAAGCCACGGCUAACUACGUGCCAGCAGCCGCGGUAAUACGUAGGUGGCAAGCGUUGUCCGGAAUUAUUGGGCGUAAAGGGCUCGCAGGCGGUUUCUUAAGUCUGAUGUGAAAGCCCCCGGCUCAACCGGGGAGGGUCAUUGGAAACUGGGG
rnacentral:rRNA from 2 species